UGCCUCUCAGGAGGGCACCUGGAGAGUGUCUAGUACUCUACCGGUCUUGGCUACGGGAGGGAGAGUCAAGCAAAGGCAUACCCAUUCAAUUCCUAGCUUGGGCAGUGGCUAGCGAGUGGAAGGCAAUCUGCUACAAGU